CUUGCGCUGCUGAACCAGUUUAAAUCUAAACUCACUCAAGCAAUUGCUGAAACUCCUGAAAAUGACAUUUCUGAAACAGAAGUAGAAGAUGAUGAAGGAUGGAUGUCGCAUGUACUUCAGUUUGAGGAUAAAAGCAGAAAAGUGAAAGAUGCAAGCAUGCAAGACUCAGACACAUUUGAGAUCUAUGAUCCUCGGAAUCCAGUGAAUAAAAGGAGAAGGGAAGAAAGCAAAAAGCUGAUGAGAGAGAAAAAAGAAAGAAGAUAAAAUGAGAGUAAUGAUAACCAGAACUCACUGGAAACGUGCCCACAAUAAAUGGCCUUAUAACAGCCAUUGUUCCCAACAACAUCACUUAAGGGUGUGAAAAGAAGUAUUUUUGAACCUGUUGUCUGGUUUUGAAAAGCAGUUAUCUUCUUAUGUAAAUUGUGGAAUGAUGUAAGCAAAUGCUUUUGGCUACUGGUAUAUGUUUUUUUCUUUUUUCUAAUUGACCUUUUAUAAUGCUAAAUCUGAAAUAAAAUCUCUUUCCUUCCAGUUUUCAUAUUAACCAUUUGCAGACUGUGCAAGCCUGUUUGUAUCUUUUUACCGUAAAAUCUGUGAAGCCUUUGUUUUCAAAAGUUUUACAGGAAGAAUAUUUCAGGGAAAACCCCUUGGCAUUCUGCUAUCUUUGAAAUAUAAUUUUUAAAUUAUGUAAUACAAAGAUUGAUAGGUUUGUUUUGCAUAUAAAUAUCUAAAAAUAGCCAAGUCAGUAAGACUUAAUAGCCUUAAAUCUUUCUUCAGGAACGCCUAAGUGAAUGUUGCCACCUGCAUCUAGGUCAGUACCUAGGCUUAAUGAAUGCACCAAGUAAUAUCAGCCAAGCUUACUGCACACCAUGGCCUGACACCAUCUACCUGCCCUUCUCAGCACAGCAACAGCAGGAGCAUGUACAGAGGUCCCAUCCGGGCAACAGAACUCAUUCAGAAUUUAGCCUUUUAUGACAAUCAGUCAUGCUAUUUACUCUCUAUUAUCUAUACUAUUUAGUCAAUGUCUUCUAGAAUCUGAAUGCCAAAAUUAUUACCACAGGUUAACUCUCAGUUACCUAAUAAAACCUUACCAGCUGCAUAUUUUCAGAUAGUAUCUCAUCAGUUCUCUCUUUUGAAGUGGAACCCAGUAGGCUUUCUUUAUGAAGCUACCAGGUGGCGGUAGCGAUAAAGAAUGUGCCUGCCAACGCAGGAGAUGUAGAGAUGUGGGUUCGAUCCCUGGAUCGGGAAGAUCCCUUGGAGGAGGGCAUGGCAACCCACUCCAGUAUUCUUGCCUGGUUUUCCAUGGACAGAGGAGCCUGGCAGCCUACAGUCCGUGGGGUUGCACAGAGUUGGACACAACUGAAGCGACCUGGCAUGCACAUGCAGGCUUUCUUUAUAGCAGUUUCUCUCACAGCACAGUCCCAGACACUACAGCUGUAGCAGCAGCAGCCUCACUUAUGGCCAUGUUAGAAAAGCAAAUUCUUGCCAUACUACCCACCACCACUACCCCCAUCUAGACGGAAUCUCAAACUUUGAUCACAGCUUGUUAAACAACCUGCCGGCUUCACCGCUGGUGAUCCAGUCUUUGAGACCAGCAAUAUCUAGUGAAGUUUAAAAUGUUCGUAUCCAGUGAUCCAAAAUUUCAAAUCCUAGGUCUGCCUACUAAAGAAAUUCUCACACACUGCUCAAGGGAACUGUACUAAAUAUACAUUUAAGUAUCAACCAAAGACUAGAUAAGUUAUUGUAUAUCCAUGCUGUGGAAUACUUUGUAAGUGGUAAAGAUCAAUAAACCA